UGUUUCGCCCGCAAGGGCGUAUGGUGGAUGCCUUGGCAGACGGGACCGAUGAAGGACGCGUGUGGCCGCGAUAGGCCUCGGGGAGCCGCCGACAGGGCUUUGAUCCGAGGGUCUCCGAAUGGGGGAACCCGGCCGCCUCUAUGGGCGGUCACCGGCUUCGGCCGGGGGGUACGCAGGGAAGUGAAACAUCUCAGUACCUGCAGGAAAGGAUACUCCGUGAGUAGUGGCGAGCGAAAGCGGAUCAGGCCAAACCGUUGCCGUGUGAUACCCGUCGGGGGUUGCGGCUUCGGUGUUGCGGGAUCGCGUGUGCCGGCUCCGGCGGGCCGGCGGGCGGUGAGAAAUCCAUGUGCGAGGGGAACCGGGUUGGAUACCGGGCCGUAGAGGGUGAUGGCCCCGUACCCGAAAGCGCAUGGACCGCCUUGACGCGUCUCCCAAGUAGCACGGGUCCCGUGGAACCCCGUGUGAAUCAGCCCAGACCGUUGGGUAAGCCUAAGUAUUCCCGUCUGACCGAUAGCGUACUAGUACCGUGAGGGAAAGGUGAAAAGCACCCCGGGAGGGGAGUGAAAGAGUUCCUGAAACCGUGCGCCUACAAACCGUCGGAGCCUUCUUCAUGGGGGUGACGGCGUGCCUAUCGAAAAAUGAGUCUGCGAGUCAGUGGCGGGUGGCAAGCGUAAGCCGUGUGGCGGACGCGUAGCGAAAGCGAGUCUUAAAAGGCGCCUUUAGUCGCUCGUCCUGGACCCGAAGCGGGAUGAUCUAGCCCUGGGCAGGUUGAAGCGCGGGUAAGACCGCGUGGAGGACCGCACCCACCUGGGUUGAAAACCGGGGGGAUGACCUGGGGCUAGGGGUGAAAGGCCAAUCAAAUUCCGUGAUAGCUGGUUCUCUCCGAAAUGCAUUUGGGUGCAGCGUCGGGUGAGUACAUCCGGGGGGUAGAGCUACUGGAUGCUUGAGGGCCCGUACUGGGUACCGACAGCAACCAAACUCCGAAUACCCGUGAUGCGUAUCCCGGCAGUGAGUCGGCGGGGGAUAAGCUCCGUCGUCGAGAGGGAGACAGCCCAGACCGUCGUCUAAGGUCCCCAAGCGCGUGCUAAGUGGGAAAGGAUGUGGAGUCGCAUAGACAGCCAGGAGGUUGGCUCAGAAGCAGCCAUCCUUGAAAGAGUGCGUAACAGCUCACUGGUCUAGUGGUUCCGCGCCGACAAUGUAGCGGGGCUCAAGCACGCCACCGAAGACGCGGCAGCACGUUUCGUGCUGGGUAGGAGAGCGUCCCACGAGGGUCGAAGCGGCCGCGCAAGCGCGCCGUGGACUUCGUGGGAGUGAGAAUGCAGACAUGAGUAGCGAGAGACGGGUGAAGAUCCCGUCCGCCGGAUGACCAAGGGUUCCAGGGCCACGUUCAUCGUCCCUGGGUGAGUCGGGUCCUAAGGCGAGGCCGACAGGCGUAGUCGAAUGGAUGAACGGGUCGAUAUUCCCGUACCGGCGCGCGACCGAACAGACCGAAAGGGCGAGUACUAACCUUGCGUUCCCUCGGAUCCCUCCUUCGGGUGGGUGACGGUGGUUCGUCUGGGACCGUAGCCCCGGUAGGUGAGCGCGGGAGUGACACGGAAGGGCAGCCGGCCAGGGAGGUGGUUUUCCCGGGCCAAGCACGCAGCCCGUCCCCCAGGCAAAUCCGGGGGGCGUCAAGGGUGAGGUGCGAUGGGACGCGCUUAUGCGCGGAUCCGGUGAUCCCGGCCGUCGAGAAAAGCUUCGGCGCGAGGGCGUGCGGCGCCCGUACCCCAAACCGACACUGGUGGUCAGGUAGAGAAUACCAAGGCGAUCGAGCGAAUCCUGGUCAAGGAACUCGGCAAAUCACUCCCGUUCCUUCGGUUUAAGGGAGACCCCCUUGCGUGAAGCGGCUUGCCCGUGGAGCGUCGGGGGGUGGCACAGACCAGGGGGUAGCGACUGUUUACCAAAAACACAGGUGCAUGCGAAGACGCAAGUCGCGGUAUAUGCACUGACGCCUGCCCGGUGCCGGAAGGUUAAGAGGAUCCGUCAACCUUUUGGUGAAGCGGUGAAUUCAAGCCCCGGUAAACGGCGGUGGUAACUAUAACCAUCCUAAGGUAGCGAAAUUCCUUGUCGGGUAAGUUCCGACCUGCACGAAUGGCGUAACGACUUCCCCACUGUCUCGACCAGGAGCUCGGCGAAAUUGCAGUACGAGUAAAGAUGCUCGUUAAGCGCAGAAGGACGAAAAGACCCCGGGACCUUUACUAUACCUUGGUAUUGGCAUUCGGUGUGGAUUGUGUAGCAUAGGCGGGAGACUUAGAGACCAUGGCGCCAGCUGUGGUGGAGUCGCAAGGUGAAAUACCGCUCUGUUCGCAUUGGAUGUCUCACCACGAGCAGUCAUCCUGCUCUGGGACAGUGCCUGGCGGGUAGUUUAACUGGGGCGGUUGCCUCCCAAAGAGUAACGGAGGCGCUCAAAGGUUCCCUCAGCCCGGUUGGCAAUCGGGUGGCGAGUGUAAGUGCACAAGGGAGCUUGACUGCGAGACUGACGGGUCGAGCAGGGACGAAAGUCGGAACUAGUGAUCCGGUGCCGGUGUACGGACGCGGCAUCGCUCAACGGAUAAAAGGUACCCCGGGGAUAACAGGCUGAUCAUUCCCAAGAGUCCAUAUCGACGGGAUGGUUUGGCACCUCGAUGUCGGCUCGUCGCAUCCUGGGGCUGGAGCAGGUCCCAAGGGUUCGGCUGUUCGCCGAUUAAAGCGGCACGCGAGCUGGGUUCAGAACGUCGUGAGACAGUUUGGUCUCUAUCCUCUGCGCUCGUUGGAAUGUUGAGGAGGCCUGCCCAUAGUACGAGAGGACCUGGGUGGACGAACCUCUGGUAUGCCGGUUGUCGCGCCAGCGGCACGGCCGGUUGGCCACGUUCGGAAGGGAUAACCGCUGAAAGCAUCUAAGCGGGAAGCCUGCUCCAAGAUAAGCAUUCCAUAGGCCUCCGGGCCUUGAACCCCCCAUGAAGAACACGUGGUCGAUAGGCCGGACGUGGAAGCCCCGCGAGGGGUGGAGCCGACCGGUACUAACGGGGGAAGGCGAAACCUC
rnacentral:rRNA from 1 species